UACGUAGGGGGCGAGCGUUGUCCGGAUUUAUUGGGCGUAAAGAGCGUGUAGGCGGUUCGGUAAGUCUGCCGUGAAAACCUGAGGCUCAACCUCGGGCGUGCGGUGGAUACUGCCGGGCUAGAGGACGGUAGAGGCGAGUGGAAUUCCCGGUGUAGCGGUGAAAUGCGCAGAUAUCGGGAGGAACACCAGUAGCGAAGGCGGCUCGCUGGGUCGUUCCUGACGCUGAGACGCGAAAGCUAGGGGAGCGAACAGG
rnacentral:rRNA from 1 species